rnacentral:rRNA from 1 species
UACGUAGGGGGCAAGCGUUGUCCGGAUUCAUUGGGCGUAAAGAGCGUGUAGGCGGCCAGAUAGGUCGGUUGUGAAAACUGGAGGCUCAACCUCCAGACGUCGACCGAAACCCUCUGGCUGGAGUCCGGAAGAGGAGAAUGGAAUUCCUGGUGUAGCGGUGAAAUGCGCAGAUAUCAGGAAGAACACCCGUGGCGAAGGCGGUUCUCUGGGACGGUACUGACGCUGAGACGCGAAAGCGUGGGGAGCGAACAGG